GGGGCCGAUCCGGCUUCGACGUGGGUCGCGAAACAGAGUAGGGCAUGUCGAGCACCAGUAAGCUCGUAAAUCCACUGGAAAACUAUAAACGCCAACGACGAGCGUUUCGCUCUGGCCGCUUAAGCGGUGAGCCGCUGCACUGAUUUGUCUUUGGGUCGGGUGGGGAAACUCACAGCAGCGUCAUCUACAAAGAAUCGGAAUCUGUCGGGUCACGAGGCAGCUUCUUAAAUCCAGUGAAUCGCCAAGGCAGGGCCCGUCGAUAGGCAUGCGCCAAGGUUAAAACUCAAAAUGUAUCGACUAAACAUGUAGAACUGCCUGCAGAGGACUUGCGGACGGGGGUUCAAUUCCCCCCGGCUCCACCA
rnacentral:tmRNA from 1 species